rnacentral:rRNA from 1 species
GACGAACGCUGGCGGCGUGCCUAACACAUGCAAGUCGAACGGGGUUACGAGAGCUUGCUCUUGUAACUUAGUGGCGAACGGGUGAGUAACGCGUGAGAAACCUGCCUCUCAGUGGGGGACAACAGUUGGAAACGACUGCUAAUACCGCAUAACACUUUAGUACCGCAUGGUACAGAAGUCAAAGCUUUAUGUGCUGAGAGAUGGUCUCGCGUCUGAUUAGCUAGAUGGCGGGGUAACGGCCCACCAUGGCGACGAUCAGUAGCCGGUCUGAGAGGUUGAUCGGCCACAUUGGGACUGAGACACGGCCCAGACUCCUACGGGAGGCAGCAGUGGGGAAUAUUGCGCAAUGGGGGGCAACCCUGACGCAGCAACGCCGCGUGAAGGAUGAAGGUCUUCGGAUUGUAAACUUCUGUUCUGAGGGACGAACAAGGACGGUACCUCAGGAGGAAGCCACGGCUAACUACGUG